rnacentral:rRNA from 1 species
AACGAAGAUACUUAAAAUGAGAGCUUCGGCAGGAUUUUUAUUUAUCUUAGUGGCGGACGGGUGAGUAACGUGUGGGCAACCUGCCCUAUACUGGGGAAUAAUCACUGGAAACGGUGACUAAUACCGCAUGUCAUUACGGAAGGGCAUCCUUCUGUAAGAAAAGGAGUAAUUCGGUAUAGGAUGGGCCCGCAUCUGAUUAGCUAGUUGGUGAGAUAACAGCCCACCAAGGCGACGAUCAGUAGCCGACCUGAGAGGGUGAUCGGCCACAUUGGGACUGAGACACGGCCCAAACUCCUACGGGAGGCAGCAGUGGGGAAUAUUGCACAAUGGGGGAAACCCUGAUGCAGCAACGCCGCGUGAAGGAAGAAGGUUUUCGGAUCGUAAACUUCUAUCAACAGGGACGAAGAAAGUGACGGUACCUGAAUAAGAAGCCCCGGCUAACUACGUGCCAGCAGCCGCGGUAAUACGUAGGGGGCAAGCGUUAUCCGGAAUUACUGGGUGUAAAGGGAGCGUAGGCGGCACGCCAAGCCAGAUGUGAAAGCCCGAGGCUUAACCUCGCGGAUUGCAUUUGGAACUGGCGAGCUAGAGUACAGGAGAGGAAAGCGGAAUUCCUAGUGUAGCGGUGAAAUGCGUAGAUAUUAGGAAGAACACCAGUGGCGAAGGCGGCUUUCUGGACUGAAACUGACGCUGAGGCUCGAAAGCGUGGGGAGCAAACAGGAUUAGAUACCCUGGUAGUCCACGCCGUANACGAUGAGUGCUAGGUGUCGGGGAGNAAUCCUCGGUGCCGCAGCUUACGCAAUAAGCAC